GAACUGAAGAGUUUGAUCAUGGCUCAGAUUGAACGCUGGCGGCAGGCCUAACACAUGCAAGUCGAGCGGAUGAAGGGAGCUUGCUCCCGGAUUCAGCGGCGGACGGGUGAGUAAUGCCUAGGAAUCUGCCUGGUAGUGGGGGACAACGUUUCGAAAGGAACGCUAAUACCGCAUACGUCCUACGGGAGAAAGCAGGGGACCUUCGGGCCUUGCGCU
rnacentral:rRNA from 1 species